rnacentral:rRNA from 1 species
GGGUCAGUAGGUUGGUCGUGCCACCGGUACGUACUGGUCUCACUGAUUCCUCCUUCCUGAAGAACCGUAAUGCCAUUAAUUUGGUGUUGCGGGGAAACAGGGCUGUUACUUUGAAAAAAUUAGAGUGUUUAAAGCAAGCUAACGCUUGAAUACAUUAGCAUGGAAUAACGAAAUAGGACGAUCGAUCCUAUUUUGUUGGUUUCUAGGAUUGACGUA